UUCCAUGGUUGGCAAGAGGCAGAUUCUGGACUUGAACUCACGGCUGCCCCCGCCACCACCCACAAUCCGCAGACCAAAGCACCUCACAGGAAUGACUUCAUACACCCUCCUCACAGUUCACUGGACUUGAUCUAAGGCAAACCAUUCUAAACUAAACCAUGCUUCCUGAAUCAUCUGCCAAGCCGACCACUUUCAGAACGACAAUUUAAGACUGGACUUGACUGUCAGGAAAAUUAGGAGGAGGAGCAGAAAGAAGAUGGUAACCACAAAAUGAGGAAGCCAGCUAUGCUCCUUCCAAGUCUCACCCAAG